rfam:Triticum aestivum genome assembly, contig: Triticum_aestivum_CS42_TGACv1_scaffold_131520_2BL
UUUGUACUCCCUCCGUCCCAAAAUUCUUGUCUUAAAUUUGUCUAAAUACAUAUGUAUCUAUUUACAUUUUAGUGUUAGAUACUUUCGUAUCUAAACAAAUGUAAGACAAGAAUUUUGGGACGGAGGGAAUACUAC